rnacentral:tRNA from 1 species
GCGGGUGUAGCUCAGUUGGUUAGAGCGCCAGAUUGUGAUUCUGGAAGUCGCCGGUUCAAUUCCGGUCACUCGCCCCA